rnacentral:rRNA from 1 species
UCCGUAGGUGGAACUGCGGAGGGAUCAUUA